GAAAGGCGCUUUCGGGUGUCGCUGAUGGAUGGACCCGCGGUGCAUUAGCUAGUUGGUGAGGUAACGGCUCACCAAGGCGACGAUGCAUAGCCGACCUGAGAGGGUGAUCGGCCACAUUGGGACUGAGACACGGCCCAAACUCCUACGGGAGGCAGCAGUAGGGAAUCUUCGGCAAUGGACGAAAGUCUGACCGAGCAACGCCGCGUGAGUGAAGAAGGUUUUCGGAUCGUAAAACUCUGUUGUUAGAGAAGAACAAGGAUGAGAGUAACUGUUCAUCCCUUGACGGUAUCUAACCAGAAAGCCACGGCUAACUACGUGCCAGCAGCCGCGGUAAUACGUAGGUGGCAAGCGUUGUCCGGAUUUAUUGGGCGUAAAGCGAGCGCAGGCGGUUUCUUAAGUCUGAUGUGAAAGCCCCCGGCUCAACCGGGGAGGGUCAUUGGAAACUGGGAGACUUGAGUGCAGAAGAGGAGAGUGGAAUUCCAUGUGUAGCGGUGAAAUGCGUAGAUAUAUGGAGGAACACCAGUGGCGAAGGCGGCUCUCUGGUCUGUAACUGACGCUGAGGCUCGAAAGCGUGGGGAGCAAACAGGAUUAGAUACCCUGGUAGUCCACGCCGUAAACGAUGAGUGCUAAGUGUUGGAGGGUUUCCGCCCUUCAGUGCUGC
rnacentral:rRNA from 1 species